rnacentral:rRNA from 1 species
UUAGGAAUCUUGCACAAUGGGGGAAACCCUGAUGCAGCGACGCCGCGUGAGGGAGGAAGUCCUUCGGGAUGUAAACCUCUUUUAGGUGGGAAGAAAAAAAUGACGGUACCACCUGAAUAAGCUCCGGCUAACUACGUGCCAGCAGCCGCGGUAAUACGUAGGGAGCGAGCGUUGUCCGAAGUUACUGGGCGUAAAGCGCGCGUAGGCGGGUCAUUAAGUGGGAAGUGAAAGGCUGGGGCUCAACCCCAUGCAGUGCUUCUCAUACUGGUGGUCUUGAGUGAGGUAGGGAGAAGUGGAAUGGCUGGUGUAGCGGUGAAAUGCGUAGAUAUCAGUCGGAACACCGGUGGCGAAGGCGGCUUCUUGGGCCUUUACUGACGCUGAGGCGCGAAAGCCAGGGGAGCGAACGGGAUUAGAUACCCGCGUAGUCC